UAUUUAUAUUUCCUGACUCGUUUCGUUGGAUACAUAUAUAUUUCUGUAGUAUGUAAUCCAUAAUCCGGUAUUAUAAUCGAAUGCUUAUCUAAUAACUGGCUGAGAAAUUGAAUGAACGAAGAAGAAUUAAUGCAAAAUAAAAUAUAUAUUUUAAUAAAAUAUUGAUUUUUAUGUGUGCGUUCUUUAUUGCAUUUUUUAUAUAUAAUGGCUAAAAUUUUUUUAAUUUUUAGUGAUAAUAAUGCAUUCUAAAGUUUCUGUCCCGCCUAAAUGGUUAUCACGUGCAUGUGUUUACAGCUACUGUUUCUAUUCGUUUGACGGACUAUGGAUGAAGUCAACAUGGUGUCAUAUCCUGAACAUUAUUCAUCCGAAAGCUAUAGCUCUCCAAGUACAUCACAACCACAAUAUCAAGAACAAACAAGUUUUGAAAAUCAAUCCCAAUUUGAACAACCUAUGACACCAGCAACUCCAACUAAUAUGAGGAUUACAAGAAAUACACGAGCUAGAUUACGUGGAGGACCAAUACAGCAACCAAAAUAUAAAGAAAUAGAUACAGAUUAUAUUCCAACUAUUAGUAGUACUAGAGGAAGAGGAAGUAGUGGACGAGGACGUGGAAAACGAACACAUCAUUCACAUAGUUUAGAAGAUGAAGCUAGUCUUUAUUAUGUCAUUAGAAACAAUCGGUCUUCAUUAACUACUAUUGUUGAUGAUUGGAUAGAAAAGUAUAAAAGUAAUAGAGAAAAUGCUCUCCUUAUGUUAAUGCAAUUUUUUAUCAAUGCAAGUGGAUGUAAAGGACGUAUCACAUCUGAAAUGCAAACAACAAUGGAACAUGUAGCAAUAAUUCGUAAAAUGACUGAAGAAUUUGAUGAAGAAAGUGGAGAAUAUCCAUUGAUAAUGACUGGUCAACAAUGGAAAAAAUUUCGUGCAAAUUUCUGUGAAUUUGUUCAAAUUUUAGUUCGACAAUGUCAAUAUUCAAUCAUUUAUGAUCAAUUUUUGAUGGAUAAUGUAAUUUCAUUAUUAACUGGUCUUUCAGAUUCACAAGUAAGAGCUUUUAGACAUACUGCUACACUUGCGGCUAUGAAACUCAUGACAGCAUUAGUAGAUGUUGCUUUAACUGUAUCGAUAAAUUUAGAUAAUACACAACGGCAAUAUGAAGCUGAAAGACAAAAAGCUAGAGAAAAAAGAGCUGCAGAUAGAUUAGAAUCAUUAAUGGCCAAACGAAAAGAACUUGAAGAAAAUAUGGAUGAGAUAAAAAAUAUGCUUACAUAUAUGUUUAAAUCUGUAUUUGUACAUCGUUACAGGGAUACAUUACCAGAAAUUCGCGCAAUUUGUAUGGCAGAAAUAGGAGUAUGGAUGAAAAAAUUUCAUCAAAAUUUUUUAGAUGAUUCUUAUUUAAAAUAUAUAGGUUGGACAUUACAUGAUAAAGUUGGUGAAGUUCGACUAAAAUGUCUUCAAGCUUUGCAACCACUAUAUGCAUCAGAAGAAUUGAAAACUAAACUUGAACUUUUUACUAGUAAAUUUAAAGAUAGAAUUGUUGCCAUGACAUUGGAUAAAGAAUAUGAUGUAGCAGUACAAGCAGUUAAACUUGUUAUUUCAAUUUUAAAACAUCAUAGAGAAAUUCUUACUGAUAAAGAUUGUGAACAUGUAUAUGAACUUGUUUAUUCAUCACAUCGUGCAGUUGCACAGGCAGCGGGUGAAUUUUUAAAUGAACGGUUAUUUCGCCCUGAUGAUGAAGCAGUAGCAGGUGUGAAAACUAAACGUGGAAAAAAACGUUUGCCAAAUACUCCUCUUAUUCGAGAUCUUGUUCUAUUUUUUAUUGAAUCUGAACUUCAUGAACAUGGAGCAUAUUUGGUAGAUUCUUUAAUUGAAACGAAUCAAAUGAUGAAAGAUUGGGAAUGUAUGACAGACUUAUUAUUAGAAGAAGCUGGACCUGAAGAAGAAACUUUAGAUAAUCAAAAAGAAACAUCUUUGAUUGAAUUAAUGGUUUGUUGUAUAAAACAAGCUGCUACAGGUGAAGCUCCCGUUGGUCGGGGACCAACUAGAAAAAUUUUAUCAGCAAAAGAAAUGAAACAAGUUCAUGAUGAUAAACAACGGUUGACAGAACAUUUUAUACAAACACUACCUCUUUUACUUGAUAAAUAUCGAGCAGAUCCUGAAAAACUUGCAAAUUUACUUGCUAUUCCUCAAUAUUUUGAUUUAGAUAUUUAUACAAAAUCUCGACAAGAGCAAAAUUUGGAUUCAUUAUUGAAUAAAAUUCAUACAAUUGUAGAAAAAAUGCACGAUACUGAAGUUUUAGAUACAGUUGCAAAAACAUUGGAACAUAUGUGUAUAGAAGGACAUGCUAUUUUUACCAGGUGUGACGUAGCGCGAUCAACAUUAAUUGAUUCUAUUGUAAAUAAAUAUAAAGAAGCUAUAGAUGAAUACAGAAAUUUAAUAGAAGGAGAUGAAGAACCAGAUGAAGAUGAAAUUUUCAAUGUUGUACAAUCUUUAAAAAAAGUUUCAAUAUUUUACUCUUGUCAUAAUAUGAAUCCAUGGGGAAUAUGGGAUUCUUUAUAUAAAGAUAUUGAAGAUGCCAAAGAUCCAUCCAAAUGCUUACCACAUGAAGCAGUUAAAUAUUGCAUAAGUGCAUGUUUUUUUGCAAUUUUAUGGGGACAAAAUCAUCUUAUGGAAGCUGCAGAUUCUGGAAAUCGAGGAGAAGAUGAAUGUCGACAAUUAAAAGAACGUUUACAUUCUUUUAUGGGUUCUAUGCGUUAUUUUGUCAGUGGUGACGUAAAUGGCGCGCCAUUUCCACCUAUUUUGAGAGAAGAAGCAUACAAUACAAUAUGUGAUUUAUUAGUAGUAUUUUGUAAUCAAUUAACAACACAUUCUAAUCCUUUAAUGCAUCAAUUAGUAUAUGAACCUGAUCAAGCAAUGCAAAAUAUGCUUAAUCGAUUUAUAGAAGAAUAUGUAUUUUUUGAAGAAGAAGAUGAUGAACAUGAUGAACAUUCAAAAAUCGAAGAAUUACAUAAAAGAAGAAAUUUUUUAGCUGGUUAUUGUAAGUUAAUUGUAUAUAACAUGAUACCCACAAAAGCAGCAGCUGAUGUUUUUAAACAUUAUGUGAAAUAUUAUAAUGAUUAUGGUGAUAUUAUUAAAACUACAUUAGGAAAAGCAAGAGAUAUUAAUAAAACAAAUUGUGCUUUAACUAUGCAACAUAGUUUAAAUAUUUUAUAUAAUGAAAUAGUAGCAGAGAAAGGAAAAGUUAAUAGAAAUAGUGAAGAAUUUACUGCAAUUAAGGAACUUGCAAAACGAUUUGCUUUGUCAUUUGGCUUAGAUGCAGUAAAAAAUCGUGAGGCAAUUACUGCUUUACAUCGAGCAGGUGUUCUUUUUGCAAUUACACCACCAGAUGGUAUUGAACAAGAUCCUACAGGACCACCACCUAAUUUAUCUUUUCUUGAAAUUUUAUCUGAAUUUACGAAUAAACUUCUUAAACAAGAUAAAAGAGUGGUAUUAAAUUUUCUUGAUAGAAGAUUACAAGCUGGAAUGCCGUCCUCACGGGGAGAGGAUUGGCAACCUUUACUUUUAUAUAGGAACAGCUUAUUACAUGGCGAAACAGAUCAAGUUCCAGUAACAAGUAAACGUGCAUAUACAAGACGUAAAAAGGAUCAUUUAGCAGAAGAAGAAGAAGCAGAUGAGCCUGAAGAAGGUUCUGAUCAUGAAUUUUCCGGUAAAUACAAGAAGAAACGUGGUCCAAGGAAACAUCAAUUAACUGUUAAUAAAAUAUCAAUAACUCGUGGAUCUAGAGCAGCUGGCUUUUAUGAAACAAAUGAAACUACACAAAUGCAAAGUUCUCCAACAACAAUUAUUGAAGAUGCAUCAACCAGUCCUUCUCAAGACAUAGAUAAUAAACUUAAGACAUUACAAAUCCAAUCUAGAUCACGAAGAAGUCAAGAUAAUAUAGAGCCAAGAGAGUUAAGAAGAACUUCUAGGAAUUCUGGUCGUUAUGUAGAAGGACAAUAUAUGGAAUCUGAUUCCGAAUAAAAUAUGAUAAAUAAUAAUACAUUCAUUCAAGAUAAAACUAUUCUAAAAGGAAAUGAUUUGUGAUACGUUUAUAACACAUGUCAUAUUGUAUUUACAACUUGAUCCAGUUAUAUGAAGUAUCCUGAAUAUACAUAUUAUAAAAAUUACUUACUUUAAUUUCUUCUUCUGUAAAUGGUAGAGGAUGAAAUUGCAUUUCCGCUGGAUAAGAUGAUUUUAAAUGAGGUUUGCAAAGAGCAUUUCUUUUUUUCAAAAUAGAUAAUCUAUCUGUAUCAAUGCCGCAUGAAGAAUUAUCAUCUUUUAUAUCAGCU